rnacentral:misc_RNA from 1 species
GAUGAAGAACGUAGCGAAAUGCGAUAAGUAAUGUGAAUUGCAGAAUUCAGUGAAUCAUCGAAUCUUUGAACGCACAUUGCGCCCUCUGGUAUUCCGGGGGGCAUGCCUGUCCGAGCGUCAUUUGCAACCCUCAAGCCCGGCUUGUGUGAUGGGUGCCGUCCCCUACGGGACGCGCCCCGAAGGCAAUGGCGGCGUCGCGGUUAUCCGAUCAGCCAAAGUGUAUGGGGCUUUGUCACUCACUUUACGGCCCGGACCGGCGCCAGUCCGAAUCAAUCUUUUUUCUAAAGUUGACCUCGGAUCAGGUAGGGAUACCCGCUGAACUUAAGCAUAUCAAUAAGCGGAGGA